rnacentral:rRNA from 1 species
UACGUAGGGCGCAAGCGUUGUCCGGAAUUAUUGGGCGUAAAGAGCUCGUAGGCGGCUUGUCACGUCGGGUGUGAAAGCCCGGGGCUUAACCCCGGGUCUGCAUUCGAUACGGGCUAGCUAGAGUGUGGUAGGGGAGAUCGGAAUUCACGGUGUAGCGGUGAAAUGCGUAGAUAUCGUGGAGAACACCCGUGGCGAAGGCGGGCUUCUGGCUAAUGACUGACGCCGAGGUGCGAAAGCUAGGGGAGCGAACGGG